GAUGAACGCUGGCGGCGUGCCUAACACAUGCAAGUCGAGCGAACAGACGAGGAGCUUGCUCCUCUGACGUUAGCGGCGGACGGGUGAGUAACACGUGGAUAACCUACCUAUAAGACUGGGAUAUCUUCGGGAAACCGGAGCUAAUACCGGAUAAUAUAUUGCACCGCAUGGUUCAAUAGUGAAAGACGGUUUUGCUGUCACUUAUAGAUGGAUCCGCGCCGCUUUAGCUAGUUCGUAAGGUAACGGCUUACCAAGGCAACGAUGCGUAGCCGACCUGAGAGGGGGAUCGUCCACACUGGAACUGAGACGCGGUCCAGACUCCUACGGGAGGCAGCAGUGGGGUAUCUUACACAAUAGGCGGAAGCCUAACGGGACAACGCCGCGUGAGUGGUGAAGAUCUUCCGAUCGGAAUACUCUGUUAUUAGGGAAGAACAAAUGUGUAAGUAACUAUGCACGUCUUGACGGUACCUAAUCAGAAAGCAACGGCUAACUACGUG
rnacentral:rRNA from 1 species